UUUCACAUUCCCAUCAUCGGGUAACAGAAAUCUUAAGUUUCAACUUUCUUGGCUGCGAGCAUUCCCCUGGUUGGCUUAUUCAACUGUUGAAGAUGGAGCUUAUUGUCGACUCUGCUUAUUAUUUGUGCAAAAAAACAUCGAAAAUGUUCAAAUCUUUCCAAAGAGAAGCCCAUAAAAACAUUCAUUGAAGCUUUGGACGUUUGCGAUGAAACAUUCUAUCCAACGGUAUACCGAUUUCUUCAGAUCGGUGCAACACUGCCAGUUACAGUGGCUUCGAGCGAACGGUCGUUCUCUACACUAUGAAGAUUGAAGACAUAUUUACGCAAUAAGACUGGAGAGCAAAGAUUGAAUGGAUUGGCGCUUCUGAACAUUCACCAGGAUCUGGAAGUAACCUCUGACGCAAUAUUGAGUAUAAUGGCCCAAAAACCAAGAAAGAUCGAUAUUACAUUGUGAAUUAUUCAUGAAUAAAUUAUAAAUAUUCACAUUCAAACUUAACUUACCUAACCCCCCCCC